AUACGUAGGGAGCGAGCGUUGUCCGGAUUUACUGGGUGUAAAGGGUGCGUAGGCGGCUCUGCAAGUCAGGUGUGAAAACCCUCGGCUUAACUGAUGGACUGCAUUUGAAACUGUGGGGCUUGAGUGGAGUAGAGGCAGACGGAAUUCCCGGUGUAGCGGUGAAAUGCGUAGAGAUCGGGAAGAACACCAGUGGCGAAGGCGGUUUGCUGGGCUCUAACUGACGCUGAGGCACGAAAGCACGGGUAGCAAACAGGAUUAGAUACCCUGGUAGUCCAUGCCAUAAACGAUGAUUACUAGGUGUGGGGAGUCUGACCCUCUCCGUGCCGGAGUUAACACAAUAAGUAAUCCACCUGGGGAGUACGGCCGCAAGGUUGAA
rnacentral:rRNA from 1 species